CCAAUAGCGUAUAUUAAAGUUGUUGCAGUUAAAAAGCUCGUAGUUGAAUUUCGGGGUUCUACCGUUGGUCGGGCAAUUGUCUGUACUGGCGUGUGGAAUUUCUACCUUCUGGGGAACCAUCAUGUUAUUAAUUUAGCGUGGUGGGAAACCAGGACCUUUACCUUGAAAAAAUUAGAGUGUUCAAAGCAGGCUUACGUCUGAAUACAUUAGCAUGGAAUAAUAAAAUAGGACGGUGGUCCUGUUUUGUUGGUUUCUGAAUCACCGUAAUGAUUAAUAGGGAUAGUUGGGGGCAUUAGUAUUCAAUUGUCAGAGGUGAAAUUCUUGGAUUUAUUAAAGACUAACUUCUGCGAAAGCAUUUGCCAAGGAUGUUUUCAUUAAUCAAGAACGAAAGUUAGGGGAUCGAAGACGAUCAGAUACCGUCGUAGUCUUAACCAUAAACUAUGCCGACUAGGGAUCGGACGAUGUUAAUUUUUCUUGACUCGUUCGGCGCCUUACG
rnacentral:rRNA from 1 species